GUUGUUGCUAAGGGCGUCUUCUUCUCCGAGCCUGUGGUCCGCAGCACGGAGCAGGGAGGGAGCGGGGCGGCGCUUAGCCUCCCAGCCGAGGAGCGCCCCACUGCGGCCAUCUGGAGACCUGCAGCCAGCGUGCAGACUCGUUCAAGGUGUGAGUGUGUGGACUCUGAUCACAGCCAGUGAAUUUACAACCACAGCAAAAGAUGGGGCCAGGUGCAGAGCUACCUAUAGGUCCAUGCGGGGGUCGAACGGGUUCUGGCUGUAUUUGGUCUGGGAGCAUGUGACAGACACUGACACCUGUGGGUUCACUGGUCCAACAUCUUACUUUGAAUGUCCUGUGUAAAUGGAAUCAGUCUAAACACAGUCGUAUCAAAGAUGGAAGAGCGGAACUGUGAGCGUCAUGGUAAAAUCUAAAUGAAUCAUCAUGUGAAGCAUUCAUUAAAACAAAAUCUCACAUGUGUCUAUUUACACAGUUUAUCAUCUGCAUGGUGAAUAUAAUACAGGAUGACGCCUCAGUUCAGAUUGUGUAUUGCCCUCUGCUGGUAUUUUGAAAGCUGUACAAGCCGCCCUAGUUAACUUGGGUUUUGUCUGGAUAAUAACCGAGAAAUGGUGGAUGUCUGUUUUUGAGAAGCAAACAAACAAUAACUCUGACUCCACAAGCACUGAACUCCUUGUUUUACUGUCUACAUUAUGAUGACGGAGUCCAUGUGAUGUCUGUUAUAACAGCUACUAAUAACAUUUCUUUUAAAAUGAAUUUAUCUUUUAUUACGUAUUUCUUGUAAGGACAACAUGUUAGUCAACAUUUCUCGGAAUGUGUUUAUCAGCUGGUUAAGGGCCUCUGGUGUUCGGAAACCACUGAACUUAUGAAACUUUGCAGAUGUUCUAAGUAGAAUGAUCAUGAUUGAUUGAUCAUGAUUGAAUCUCAUACAAUGUAACCUUGAUCAUGCUGUAUCAUAUUCAACUGAAUGAAUCUUGGCCUGAUUGCUUUAACUAAGGAAUUGUCGCCUCGAUCUCAUCAGAAGAUCCUGAACCUUGACUUUGUAACAACCCCAACCAGAGCGGGAGGGAUGAGCCAAAUGUAUAACGACAAAGAACUGCCUCCCAUCGGUGUGCAUAUUACAAACUAACCGUUGUCCUAUGCACCGUACUCUGAGCAUUAAAGUGUGACAAUACUGUAAGAGAAUUGGGUCUCGUUCCUCGUUGUUAAGGUGGGGUUGUAGAAAUUGCCAGGACAUGUGCCACAGCCACCCCACCAGUUCACAGUCUAUAAUGCUCCUAUUAGGGGCUAACUAGUACCUCACCUACCACAUGUGUUUCAGUGUUUUUUUUCAGCCCCUGGGUCUUUUCGAUAUUCUUUCUUUUAGAUAUAUAUACGUGUGUGUGUUUGUGUGUGUGUGUGUACCUAUAUUACAUCCACAAACUCUCAAUUAUCAAUGACGUGAAUACAAACACAAGCAUUUGAAGACAUAUUGUGUUCUCUCUUUCAUUGUGUGUGUGUGUGUAUAAAUAAAGAGCACUGAAAUAAA